GGCUGAGUGUGAGUCCGUACCAAAACCUUGUACCUAUCCCAUGUGAAAUUAAGGGCGGAUGGAAGAUGAGCAAAAGAAAAAAUUACCUUGAAAUGAAGUUUGCGAGGUGCUGUUGA